AGACAGUGAGAAUGAAGUGGAUUUGAUGGUGCAGACACGGCAUUUGCGAGAUGUUAUCGUUCUUGUCAUCAGAGGCCUUGCCCAGCGAUUUAAUAGUACAUCUCUUAAUUCUCUGCUCAAAAUAGAUAAUUAGUUUUCAUCUCAUAAAUGUAAAUGAUUUCAGAAUAGUGUUGUAAAAGGAUCAAUUUUACACUCCCUAUACAUCGUUUCUACAACUCUGUUUGAGGAUUGGUUUGUUGUAUAAAACACCUGUUCAUCAUUGUAGUUGUACAUUUUUGUGUAAGAUAUACUGUUCUCUAACUCUAAUGGUGCAUUUCCUCAUGGUUUUGGCCCUUUUGUAUAAUUCGUUUUGAGUUCGAUUUGAAAGUGUUUAGCAAAUAUGUUAGGAAUAUGCAUAAACCAAAUUGGCUUUGAUCUCAAGAUAACUGGCUUGAAAGGGUAAGGUUGAAUUACAUUUGGAUGGAUUACUUUCUUAAGUGCAAGAUUUCCAUGCAUGUAUAUCUGGCGGGAUGUUCUUUUCAAUAUUCUGCUUAAGAGUGUUAGUCCUAGUUAAAAAGAAUAGCAGCGGUACAUAAUAGUAAAUUUUAAAUCUCAAGGGUGCCUGCUCUACCCUCCCUCUAUUAGACUUGCUCAUGGUGGUGAUUUUGGUCUGUACAUUUGUAAACAUCGUUGGGUAUUUGUUGAAAUCAUUGGAAGAUUUGGUUGAAAGGUGAUCAUCAUUGGGUAUUUGGUUGAAAUCAGAAACAUGGCAGAUCUAAAUUUGGAGCUUGUAGGAAGAAUGUUGUUAUGUAAGAUGCGUGAGCAUUAUUGAUCAUAUGCUGCAAAGAACACUAUGAAAUAUGUAAUGGAUCCUAUGUAGCUUGUCCAAGGGUGUCUGUCUUGUCUUGCAUGUUGCUCCUAAAUGUAACAGCUACUGAUUUAAGUCUUCUGAGGCAUCAAACAUGGAGAAACGAACUCGAACAACGAAAGUGAUAUUUAUACUUGAUCUAACUUUGGAUAAUUAUUUGUAAAAAUUCUAAAUAAUGCUUAGCAAAAUUACUAUUGGUGUUGUUUAUGUAGAAAAGAUAAAGUCGAAUAAAAUUGUAAUGGCAACUUGUGGGGCAGUAGGGUAGAAGGGGGAAACUUUUGUAACAUGGAAUACUGGAUGGGGAGGGCUUCUCCUCUGUGUAGGGCGGUAAGGGGCAUCGGCCACUAGAGGUGGCAAAAUGGGGGAUGGGCGGGAUUUGCUUGGGUUUGAGAUGGAACCGAGUCAUAUGGGUUUGGGCUCAACCUUAUCCAUAUGUGUUUUGGGACUAACUUGGCGGGAUCAUUUUGGGAUGGGUUUAGAUUGAUCCCGCCUAAUACCCAAAUCCAUUUUCUACAUAUUUUUUUUCCUUUAAUUCAUUUUUUAUUUUUAUAUAAUUUUAAUAUUUUUGAUUUAUUAAAUUUCUUUUAGUUUUAUUAAAUAAACAUGCAAGUGCUUUAUACUCAAGAUUCCCACCAAAAAUUGGAUUAACAAAUAAAGGAAAAGAUAGAUAUACAGUCAUAUUCCAACAUAUAUCAAGAUGGCCAAGGUCUUUAGGAUGUUGAAUAUUUAUCCUUAUCAUUGUCCAAGGAUGACAGGUCUAAACUAACUGAAAUGCUGGAAAUUCUUGUGGAUAAUGACUAGGAAGACUACUAGAUUAUAUUCGCUGGUAUGACUAUAAAAAUUGUUAAAGAUAAUUUUUGAAUUUAAGAUUCCGUUUGGAUUGACUUUUUUUCAAAAAAUAAGUUUUUCAAAUACAAUGUUACAGUAAUAUACAAUAACUCAAGAAACAUCCCAUCCAUAUUAAUAUAUCAAAUAUUUCAAAAAAAUUUUAUAGUAAAAAUUUUUCAUAUACACUGCUACAAUAAAAUAUUUCAAAAACACCUACCAAAAACAGCUAAUCCAAACGGAGCCCUUGCCAUUUGAACCCAAUGGGUACCCAAGUAUUUCCCAUCCUUUCCCAUUCAUUAAUGGGUAUAGUUGGGAUGUGUCCCAACUUAAACCCAAUACCAAAUUAUAAUACCCAUCCCGCCCAAAGUUCUUUUGGGCAUGGGUAGCCCAUUGGGACUUGGGACAAAUUGCCAGCUCUAUCGGCCACCAAGAUUUUACAAAUAUUGAUGCGGCUCUUCAAAAAAUUUGAAAUUUUUAUUUAUAUUCAUGUAGAAAUUGGAAUUCGCUCCCACUAAGAUUUUAGAAAUCCUUGUAUAUUUCCUUCAAACAUUAAAUGUCUUCUUUAAUGGUGCUUAGGUGAAUAUUCGAGGGCUGGUUUGUUGUAGACGACACUUAUUUUGCAGUGUACUAGUACACUUUUGUAUAAGACACUUUUUUCAUGGUGCUUUUCCUCAUGGUUUUGGCCCUUUUGUAUUAUCUAUUUAACCCGUUUCUACUGACAACUAUCUAGGAAUUCAUGAAUAAUUGAAUUUGGGCAUUUCAUCUAGCGGAAUUGGCUUGAAGGAGUUGAGUUGAAUUAUAUUUGGUUGGUUUUUGUUUUUAAGCGCAAGAUUUUUUAUAGAUGUAUAUUUCAAGGGCUGUUUUUUUGGGCUAUAUUCUUAAGAUUUUAGGAUGCAAGUGAUAGUUUCAAAAAGAAGUAACGCAGAAAAUGAAUAAAUCAAACAUCUCACAUUAUAAAAUCACCAUUAUUGCUUCAACACCUCGAUGGAUUUCACUCUUCAAUCAAACAAACAAUUCGCCAAGCUUGCAACUUGCAAGGACAAGCAAUGAUUUAAUGUCACAUUCUUGAGCACAUUAUUGCAAAGAAAUACCGAUCAAGUAAAGAAGGUAAAGAGCCUGCGCGUCUCAAAGGUGGAACUAGUAUUGAGUGGAAGAAAAAGGAAAGAAAGGAGAGACAUGGAGGGACGAAUACGUUUUUUUCUUUUUUCUUUUUUUUUUUUUUAAGAGUUUCCCUCCAAAUAUGAGAGAAAUGGAAGAAUAGUAGAAGCAAAGCAACCAAACGUCUUCUAAGUGUCAAAUUGUCCAUAAAAUAUCAGUAAACAAAUUACUCAUACUCAAUAUGUCCAAAAUUAUUUCAUACUAGUCUCUUCAUUUUUCUUCUUUUAAACUCCAAAACUCCAAAAUUAUUUUUCUCUUCAUUAUUUCAAAAACUCCAAAACUGGCAAAAGAGUUCAAAUUUAAUUGGACAGAAGAGUUAGUUGAGGAGGGAAAGCAGAAAAACCCAAUCAAAAUACAAAAUUCUGAGUUAACAAUACCGGGGAGAUUAGCACGAGUAAUUUUUUUUUAUUAGAGCUCAUUAAUGGUUAGAGUGGUUAAGAGAAGACUGAAAUUGUACCCCAAAAAAAUAUUGAAAGAAAAUGUCAAACAGUCCAAAGCACCUUGAUACUAAUAAAUCUUAAUCUAAGAUAUGAAAAUUGGAGUUAUAAUUAUGUAUUAAUUGCUACCAAUGAACAAACCAUUAGACUGAAAUAAAUAAAAUAAUCGUUUCACGUAGACUUAAUGGUUGCAAACUUGUUUAACAGCUAUCUAAUUUAACAUUCACUUUCAUUCUCAUAAAAGGGUCUAAUAAAAAAAUGGAAAACAAUUUACCAAUUUUCCUUGUACCAUAAAAAUGGUAUGGGCACAAAAAAUAAAUAUACGAUCUCCUAUUCCUAAAUUUUAAUACUGAAGUCAGGCUUGUGAAAUGUUCUCAUGUUCGCUUUAUUUGAUACUUGUGCCACAAAGAAGAAUUAAUAGUGUAAAACAACAGUUAUCUUGGGCGAUUUCAGAAAUAUAGCAGUGUAAAGAAUCCAAUAUGAAAUUCCAAGUGAUAAAAUUUAUUACCUAAAUCGCUUUGAAAUAAUUGAUUCAGAGCUCGAGAAUUUUUUUUGGUCACUAUAAUAUCACAAAUUCUCAAUUUCAUCGAGAACGUUAUAGUAUUAAGUUAAGGAACAUACCUCUGCAUAUAUUAUGUUUUCACACAAAAGGCGUAUUUCUCAAAGAUUGGUAUGAAUUAAAUUUCGGUUUGUCUAACUCUUUAAGACCCCGUUAGAAAAAACCAUUAAAUUUUAUGAGGGCUGAAAAGCAGUUAUUUUCUUUGGUGGUUUUGUGAGUCACUUAAUUCAACUUAAAAGGGGUAAGUCUUGAACCACUUCCCAUUUCUUAUACCUAAUUUGCAUUUUACACAAGGAAAAGGGAAUUCUUACCAGUACAAAAUUGACCAGUACUAUUAAGGAGAUACCAAUUGAUUUGAUUUCCAAGAAUAUUGGAAAUUAUUAACCUUAUUUGACUACGCAUCCGACGAAUCGUAAAAGGAAUCUUUCGCCGUCUAUGUUAAUAACUAGCAAGCUUAACAAAUAGAGAAUAUAGAUGCCUAAAUUUAUAUAAGAACUAUGAUUUCCUAAUAUUUACUUAGUAAAUAUACCUUGCUAAGUCAAAUGGUAAGAUACCCUUUUUUUUUUUUUCAAAUGGUUUGAUACAUUGAAACAAAUAUGUGUAUAUAUAUACCAAAGGUGCAGGGAUGCUUGACCCAUAGGCUUUCUCCCACAGCAAACUAUUAAUUUCUGCAGCAGAAAAUUCAGUCCUUUUGUGGGAGUUCUUAGUUUGUUCAAGAUGGGUUGUUGUUUCUCUCAGGUAUGUAUUUUACUUUUCUAAAUUGGUGGCAUAAUCUUUAAGUUCUUUUUUCUUUUCAAAAAAGAAUUGACUUUUAAUUGAAAGGAGAAGGAAAUAUGAGAAGAUUUGAAUAAUUUUAAUGAAUUAAUGUCAAUGGCCACACAAUAAUGUUCAAGUUUAUUUAUUUAUUUCUUCACGUAUAUUUAUGGAUGUCCACAAGUCUUUGUGAAAAUAAACAGUGCUAGAAUGUGAUAAACGCUUUCAGUAUUUUGGUUUAUGAUUUAAACUCAUUCGGUUUGAUUUUCUUCCUUAUAUAUUCUAUCACUACUGUCAUUAAAAGGGUUAUUUGUAAUUCUUUCUUUUUUAAUUCAGAUGCUUUGAAUAUACUCUUGAGUGAUAGCACAGACGACUAAGGCUUUGAUUAGUGGCUACUGUUGAACUGUAAAUAGUGUUUAUAUUAAAAAAAAUUACGAAUUCAUUGACUUGAAACUUUUGCCAUGCCUCAAAGAACUUGGCAUCGACAACUUUUUAAAGCAGAGAUCAAUAUUAGAAGUAAUACUAUAAAUUGCAUUAUUUAGGGUGUAUCUCAAUGUAACGUUUGAAGUAAGAAUGCAAAUACUAUUAUUUGUUGCUACAAUUCAAUAUUAAAAUAUUAAAGAUUAAAAUUCAAAGGGUUAAAAUUUUGUUAUUCUUUUACCGUUCAAAUGAAGAAUAUCUUGAAUAUUUUUGUGAAGUAUAUCUUGAAUAUUUUUUUAAAAUCCUUACUAUACUACUUUUUAUGAUAUACCGCGUUUGAAACAAGAAAAUUGCAUAAAAACGUGUUUUGUGAAUAACUAUAACAGAAACACAAAAUCCAGAUAAUCAAGAGUUCAAGAGCACGUAUUUGUUUAUCAUUCUUUUAGUAAAUCUCUCUUACUCUAUAUUAAAGGCUACAAUCUUUUUUAAACUGUGUAGAUGAAAUGUUUAGUGCAACUAGUUUUUGUUUGCAUGAAAAGCACUAAUGCUCUUUCUUAUAUGACUGAAAUUGAACCAAAGAGUGAGAAGCCGAAACCAGCUUCGGCGGCCCCAGAACCAGCUUCAGCUCCAAAUUCCCUAGCAGCAGCUUCCUCGCCACCACGAGGCCCGCCAAGGCCCCAGAAUCCACAUCCAUUUGAAGCACUUUUUAAUGAUGAAAAUCCUAAUGCUUGCAAUAUUUCGUAAUUCUUAAUUAGCUACCACUUUUUGUUUCUUGCUUCAUUCAAGUGGUUCUAGUUUGAUUAUAUCAUUUUUCAGAUGGUGAGUUAUUAUGUUUAGUUGAGAAAUUUACAUUAAGAUUUUUAUCUAUGUUCAAUUUUGGUAAUCCAAUAAGCUUCUUUAUGUUUGCUUCGGAGUUAAAAAUUUGUUUUACUUUUUGGGUGACUUAACAUAUCAUAUUAUUCAAAGAAUAUAUAUAUUUGGCCUUCUAAAGGCACACGAGCGUUAAUAUAGGUUAGGUUAGUUUGAGGAUUGAUUUGUUGUAUAAAACACCUGUUCAUGAUUGUAGUUGUUCAUUUUUGUGUAAGAUAUACAGUUCUCUAAUGGUGCAUUUCCUCGUGGCUUUGGCCCUUUUGUAU
rnacentral:lncRNA from 1 species